rnacentral:tRNA from 1 species
GUUUCUGUAGUUGAAUACAACAGUGGUUUUUCAAGUCACUGGUCUAGGUUAAAAUCCUUGUAGAAACU